rnacentral:rRNA from 1 species
CCCUUAGAUGUUCUGGGCUGCACGCGCGCUACACUGAUGCGUUCAACAAGUUGGACCUCGUCCGAGAGGAAAUCGGGGGAAUCUUUUGAAAACGUAUCGUGAUAGGGAUAGAUUAUUGUAAUUAUUAAUCUUCAACGAGGAAUUCCUAGUAAGCAUGAGUCAUCAGCUCGUGCUGAUUACGUCCCUGCCCUUUGUACACACCGCCCGUCGCUGCAACUGAUUGGGUGACCUGGUGAACAUCUUGGACCGGCUCACUCAAUUUCGAGAGGACUGGAAAAGGCCGUAAAUCAGGUACAUCUAGAAAUUGCAAGUCGUAACA